rnacentral:rRNA from 1 species
AUUGAACGCUGGCGGCAUGCCUUACACAUGCAAGUCGAACGGUAACGGGCCUUCGGGUGCCGACGAGUGGCGAACGGGUGAGUAAUGCAUCGGAACGUACCUUUCAGUGGGGGAUAACGUAGCGAAAGUUACGCUAAUACCGCAUAUUCUGUGAGCAGGAAAGCAGGGGAUCGCAAGACCUUGCGCUGAUUGAGCGGCCGAUGUCAGAUUAGCUAGUUGGUGAGGUAAAGGCUCACCAAGGCGACGAUCUGUAGCGGGUCUGAGAGGAUGAUCCGCCACACUGGAACUGAGACACGGUCCAGACUCCUACGGGAGGCAGCAGUGGGGAAUUUUGGACAAUGGGGGCAACCCUGAUCCAGCCAUGCCGCGUGAGUGAAGAAGGCCU